AAGACUAUAGACCUGCGGAGUACCUGCGGAAGGAUCAUUAUCGAGUUUACAACUCCCAAACCAUUGUGAAUCUUACCUUUUCGUUGCUUCGGCGGGAUCGCCCCGGGCGCUUCGGUGCCCCGGAUUCAGGCGCCCGCCGGGGGACCUAAACUCUUGUAUUAUAGUGGAUUUCUGAGUGGAUUACACAAAUAAUCAAAACUUUCAACAACGGAUCUCU
rnacentral:misc_RNA from 1 species